UAAGCGCACAGCUUCGCAUGAAGCAGUGUGAAAAACUCCGGUGGUACAAGAUGGACCCGCGUCUGAUAGCUGGUUGGUUGAGGUAACGGCCCACCAAGGCGACGAUCAGUAGCCGGCCUGAGAGGGUGAACGGCCACAUUGGGACUGAGACACGGCCCAAACUCCUACGGGAGGCAGCAGUGGGGAAUAUUGCACAAUGGGGGAAACCCUGAUGCAGCAACGCCGCGUGAGUGAAGAAGUAUUUCGGUAUGUAAAGCUCUAUCAGCAGGAAAGAAAAUGACGGUACCUGACUAAGAAGCCCCGGCUAACUACGUGCCAGCAGCCGCGGUAAUACGUAGGGGGCAAGCGUUAUCCGGAUUUACUGGGUGUAAAGGGAGCGUAGACGGUUUUGCAAGUCUGAAGUGAAAGCCCGGGGCUUAACCCCGGGACUGCUUUGGAAACUGUAGGACUAGAGUGCAGGAGAGGUAAGUGGAAUUCCUAGUGUAGCGGUGAAAUGCGUAGAUAUUAGGAGGAACACCAGUGGCGAAGGCGGCUUACUGGACUGUAACUGACGUUGAGGCUCGAAAGCGUGGGGAGCAAACAGGAUUAGAUACCCUGGUAGUCCACGCCGUAAACGAUGAUUACUAGGUGUUGGUGGGUACGACCCAUCGGUGCCGCAGCAAACGCAAUAAGUAAUCCACCUGGGGAGUAC
rnacentral:rRNA from 1 species